rnacentral:lncRNA from 7 species
ACAAGCCAUCACAACCCUUCUCCUCCACUUAGCAUUACAGAGAAGUGAAGGCCUCGUCCCCAUAUUACUUCGCUAUACCUUUGAGUCAGGCUCUUCCCUGCUCCCAAGCUGUCGACCAAGGCCAGAGGGCAGCUGCACCCAGAGGACCCCAGGCGGUGUGACUGAUGUCAGUUGUAAACUAACGGCAGAGAAGACCUGUUCAGAGCUAUUGCUGAGCCACAGGGUCUACUUAAAGGGUCAGGGCUAGGUCACUGCUCACUUGCUAAGAUGGAGAUUGCCCUCACCUGCCCUCUGAUGCAGAACUGUACAAGUGGAAACCAGAGCCAGGAAAGUUCCUGCCUUUUGUGGGUACAAGAUAAGCAGUAUGUGAAUCCACAAGCACCGCAGGAGAUGAAGAGACGUUACUGGUCCUUAUUGCCAUCUGCAGAAGAUACACAGCAAAGGCACCCUCUAGCCCCCUCCUGAUGCUGUCACACUCACCUCCGCCCUAUUGACAAGACAGUGGGCAGAAAACCCUGAACAGCAGCACAUCUCCCCACCCUACCACCUCCCUGUAAGAUUUAACUCCCACUGGAAAUAUAUGUACUUUCUUUCUCCUCUACCCCUUCUUUAGCAAGAAGAUUUUUUUUCCAUUUAAUCUCUCACAGCUUGGCUAUUACGGGAAAAUUACUCUUCUCCCAGUCAGAAUCUUGAGCCUGUAUUUAAGAACUGCUGUACAUUAACAUGCUUACGUUAAAACAUUCUAUGUUGCAGCUUUCUGAUUUAUCUAUGGAUCUUUAUUUUUGGAUACCACUGCUUUUUACAGCUUUCUAAUUUAUAUAGCCAUUUGUUUUGGCUGUCAAAACAUUUUUAAUUUUAAUUACUGAGUAUCAUGCUUCUGGGUAUAAAACUGUCAGAUAAAUCUGAGUAUCUGCAUAAACAUGUGGGGAACUGCAUGUGUUAUCACUCAGCAAUUGCUGGUGGGCAGUUUGCAAGCUCUUGUCUGAUCUGCGUUCAGCUGCUGCAGAACAGCAUUGGUGUGAUGAACUGUUGAUUAGUUGUCAAACUGUGUGCAGCUAUGUCCUUGGCUCUGCCUAACACAGUGGGCUGUUCAGAUUGCACAAACCUUCAGCAAAGGAGUGUCCACAGCCAUCUUUACCUCAGUCAUUCAAACCCAAAGUGCUCCUUUGUCAGGACAUCCCAAAAAAAAAGGGUUUUUUUUCCUAUUUUUAAGAGAAAAUGUGGCAUCGUUUGCUUCAUGGGGUAGCCAGCAGACUCCUUGUCAGUACUUAGGAGCCAAAACAUGUGUCUGUGUUUUUCCUUUACAAUAAAGAUAAGCCUGUGACUGUGUGCAGUAAGUACAAACCCCUUCUGUCCAGGAAGAGAACAGGAGCUCUUCUGCAGAGUACCCCGAUUGUUCUCUUGCAUUUCUGCAAAGUGACCUCUCUUCCCCUACUGAGACAUUGUUUUAUUGGUGCUGGGACUAGACCUAGCCAGGCAGAGGCCCGACUGCAAUGGGACACAGCAAAGCCUGUAGGAGUGAGGAUCCCAAAACUGGCACUGGUGGCAGACAGCUCUCCAGGAGGCAAAGUAGGAUUAACCAGCCCUCUUGUCACACCUGUGUUGCUACUGUAGGUUUGUUACAACCUAUAAAGAUCCUUUCCUCAUCUUUCUCCAGUACUUCACAGGGGCUUUCUGCUCUUGGUGCUACUGUCAAACUCACUGCCAGAGAGACACAGAGAAACAGCCCUUACAAGCUUCACAUAUUGCCUACCCAUCCUGUCUUGGUUUGUUACCUCUGCCUUUUACAUUUGUAACAGAAACUUUGUGAAGGUGGGGCUGCACAGUGCCUGACACAGUGCAGGAAUCUCUGCACCCCUGCACUACAAAUUAAAAUUACUUUACAAUAAAAUACUACCAAGGGUAGGUAGGGAAAAAUGUAAGGGACAAACAGGCAGCAGAUAUACCAACGUCAGCAUCCUAUGUCAGCUGCCUCAGCCAAAGAUCUGGUGCGAUGUUCCUGUGAAAGUUCUUUCCAUUAGUCCUGUUGUGAACUCUCUUCUAAGCAGAGCUGAUCUUUUGCCAUACUUCUUUUCUGUAUGAUCCUCACUUGGUUUGCAAUGGUCUUGCUGUUUUUGCUACUAGAGCAGUUUUGUUGCACUUUCUCACAAACAGCCUCUCCAAGCCGAAGAGACUUGCACUGAUAUUUUGAUAUAUUCAUCUUUACCUUUGGCUUUUUCUGCCUCAGGUGAUCAAAUUGAAUGAACUUUACUGCCAUCUGGGGAUGUAACAUUUUCAUUUCUGUUGAUCGUUCUAUCUUUUAAUCUCAUUAAAGAGACUCAUUAUGGAGUUUAAGG